CUGGGCUUCACUGUCCGGGACUCGGAGUCGGCGCUGUUACUUUGAGUAAAUUAGAGUGUUCAAAGCAGGCCUACGCUCUGAAUACAUUAGCAUGGAAUAACACGAUAGGACUCUGGCCUAUCCUGUUGGUCUGUAGGACCGGAGUAAUGAUUAAGAGGGACAGUCGGGGGCAUUCGUAUUUCAUUGUCAGAGGUGAAAUUCUUGGAUUUAUGAAAGACGAACUACUGCGAAAGCAUUUGCCAAGGAUGUUUUCAUUAAUCAAGAACGAAAGUUGGGGGCUCGAAGACGAUUAGAUACCGUCCUAGUCUCAACC
rnacentral:rRNA from 1 species